rnacentral:tRNA from 1 species
GCCGGGGUGGUCGAGCGGUCAGGCGGCGGGCUGCAGACCCGCUUCACGUGGGUUCAAAUCCCACCCCCGGCUCCA